UUGUUUUAACGGAAGCAAGCAAGUGAAGCAGGAAAUCAAGGGUUAGCCAGCUGCAUUGUCGCUUGAUGCGUAAGUGUGUAUAUUGUGGCGGUGCGUAUUUUUCGAGCACACUGCACUUUCGUGUGAACGACGUGCCAUUAUAAGGCGCGCAAGCCAAAGCGCGGAACUUUAAUCCACCAAAACCAACCUACUCCCAACUCAAGGCUUUCCCACGGAACCACCAAAUAAGGUAUUACUUUCUGGGAGUGACAAGAUAUUUUGAGACUGACACCUAUUCUGCUGUAGAUGUCUUAGAAUUGUCGUAAAGGAAGCUACCGCUUCGCGAACAGACGACUUUGUUCAUGAAUGGAGGGUAUUUGGGUGCAGCCUAUGAAAGGAAAAUGCUUCGAAAAUAUUACUUGCCGAGUUUUUGAAGAUUGAGCUAUCAAACACAUGUAACAAAAUAUAAAAGUGAUCGGCAAGAGCUCUAUGCUGUAAAAGUGUUGGAUUACACAUGUCAUUAUACGAACAGAUGAUAUGGAAUUGCCCAUGACUGAGAAGAAGAAGCACACCAGCAUUUUUGGUCUCCCUACACUCGUGCUUUCAAACCAUGGAUCGCUUGUUCUUCAUUAUGAUAGUGAUAUUAUGUCACGUGCAGAUCUAUGGCCGUCUCAAGGAAUCUGUAGCUGUGUAAGAAUUCUGAGGUAGAGCUUGCCCUCCUUGUAUUGAAGAACGUGAUUCCAACAGAACUUUCUAUGAUACCAAACUAUGAACCCUAUAACCACACCGCCGAUUGGUGGUCUUGGGGUGUUCUGAUUUACGAAAUGUUGACGGGCCAAAAUCCUUUCGAGGGUGUGGAUGAUGAGAACACGUUCAAAAAUAUUAAAGAUAAGAAAAAUGUCUUUCCGAAACACUUCUCUCAAGAGGUUAUGGAUGGGCUAACUAGCGUGAGUAAUUUUAGAAGAAGAARAACUCGUUGACGACAGUGUCUUGUGCUUUGAAGUUCCUUGCUAAGAAGCCAAACAAUCGUUUAUGUGCCGGACGCUAUGCACGCUCUGAGGUAACCAUAUAUCCAUUCUUUAGGAAUAUUGACUGGAAGCUAAGGAAACGGAGCCACCUAUUGUGCCAAAAAUUGUAAACGCUGAGCUAAAGGCUUAACAGUCGUUAUCAGUAAGUGAUAAUAUCGAAUUUCGAUAAAGCUUUCAUAA